rnacentral:tRNA from 1 species
GGGCCUUUAGCUCAGUUGGUUAGAGCAUCCGACUCAUAAUCGGCAGGUCGCAGGUUCAAGUCCUGCAAGGCCCACCA